rnacentral:tRNA from 1 species
CGGGGCGUAGCGCAGUCCGGUAGCGUACAUGCAUGGGGUGCAUGGGGUCGGAGGUUCGAAUCCUCUCGCCCCGACCA